ensembl:lncRNA
AAUUUACCAAUAUCGACACUCCCAGUUUUACUAUAAUUCACUAUAGUUUCCAAAAUAUCUUAAAUUGUGUUCCGAAGACGAACAAAGCUUUUACGGGUUUGGAACGACAUGGGGGUAAGUGAUUAAUGACAAAAUUCUCUAUUGUUCAAGGCUGCGAGCUGCCUCCGUAUCCACCAGGGGGCCUCUAAUAGUACAUGAAAUGACACCUUUUUUUGGGGGGGGGGGGGUAUAUGUCAAUGGACAAUGGUAAUAAUACAAAAACGCAAUAUUGUACAAUCAAAUCAUCUAUACGUAUCUUAUUUCCAUAGCGACACGUCAUGCAGGUACAUAGUGCUGCAUGAUCGACUGAUGUAUCACUUUUAUUUAGUUUUCCCUUUCUUAUUUAAAAUAUCCACAAACUUGUUAAUUAUAUCAUAACUUGUAUAAUACAGUGUAUUCUGAUUGUCAUAUGUGUAAAUGAAUUCCUUUUGUAGUUUAGUUGAUCUAUAAUGAGCACUGGACGCCGUCGUGUGGAUCUGUCAUCACGUAAAUUCACCCAUUUCUCCCAAAUACAUGAAAGUAAGUGGCCAGUGAACUGGGAGAAAAACUGAGUAAACUUUAUAGUUACCCACACAAUGUUCUACAGAUUCUGAGCUUGUGGAUCUGAUUUAUGCUGUCAUAAGAGGACAGACAUGUAGGUAAUGUCUUUAAUAAUACCAGACUCAAAGAAAAAGGUUCAAAUGCACAAUGCCCUUUCAUUUUGUUUAGUUUUUACCUUUUCUUUCUUUUCCUUGAUUUGCAGGGUUCAGAUUGAAUCGGUUUAUGCAGGUAUCAAAACUUGUUCUGUCAAUAAACUUGAUAUGUCAAUCUGUGAAGAACUGUUCAGGAUCUAUAUUAAACCUGAAAAGAAUUGUUUGUCAUCAUUCAGUCUUACUUUUCUACAGUCAAAUCUAAUCAACAUUGACUGGCCAAACCUCUUCCGAGCACUUCAAACUGAGAACAAAGAUGUGCUCAUGUUUCAUGUCUUGUUUGUCUGGAUUGAAGAAGAUGGCCUUUUGCCCUUUAUGAACUGUUUUUGCCUAAAUUUAAUACUUUACCUCUUGACAAUGGGGUUUAUACAAACCAGUCACUCACCUUCAAGGUUGUGCACCACAAUAUGUAAAAUAUAAAAAAGUAAAAUGGAGAUUUGUUCAUUUUUAUGUGCUUCAGCUAUAAGAAGAUAGGUAACAAAGUAUCAUCAAAUUAUCUUAGAAAGUGUGAUAACACUUUUGGUAUAGUUUGUUUUUUGUACAAUUAAACAGUUGAACAAAAUGACAUUUCACCAGGCCUGUAGUAUAAGACAUGACAAAGAAUACACUGUAAAUGAUAAAACUGUGUAAACAAUAAAUACAUAAGUUGACUGUAUGGUUGUGUGCA